rnacentral:rRNA from 1 species
CACGUAGGGCGCAAGCGUUGUCCGGAAUUAUUGGGCGUAAAGAGCUCGUAGGCGGUCUGUUGCGUCUGCUGUGAAAACCCGGGGCUUAACCCCUGGCUUGCAGUGGAUACGGACAGACUAGAGGUAGGUAGGGGAGAAUGGAAUUCCCGGUGUAGCGGUGAAAUGCGUAGAUAUCGGAAGGAACAUCAGUGGCGAAAGCGGCUUCCUGGACCAGUACCGACGUUCAGGCACGAAAGCGUGGGGAGCAAACAGG